ACACACAUUGUGUGUGUGUUUGGUCGAACAACAUCAGGAGCAAAAAGGGGGUUCCCUUCCAAGAACCCUAACUCACGAAAAUUGCCAAAAUCAAAGAGAAAUCGAGCCGGGAAAUUGGGGCUUUUAAAAAAGUCGUGAUCACCAAGCUUAGGGGAUCACAAGUUUGACUCUUGACAAGCUGGAUGGAGGCUUGGGAGGAAGCGGGUCAAACAGAGCGAGUACGAAAAGAAAACGUUGCUUGGAUGCGAGGUUUACUUUUGAAGUGUCGGAUGAUGAUCAAACCCGACGAAGAACCGAACACACGAGAUCAAAGCUUCCGCGAAUAGUUUCGUCGUCACGUCUCAAACAGCGAAUUAAAUUACAAAAUGUUGGAAUGUUUUAUUUAGUGAAAUGUUUUAACAAACUCGUAUUUUUAAGUGUAUGUUUAAUAUUAUUACACUAUAAUUAAUCAAAAUUUAUUGGAUAAAUGGUUAAAA